AUUCAGCUGACGAGUCCUAAACCGGGUGAAACGCGAGUCCUGAAC
rfam:Schistosoma curassoni strain Dakar, Senegal genome assembly, scaffold: SCTD_contig0001495